CGGUAAUACAGAGGGUGCAAGCGUUAAUCGGAAUUACUGGGCGUAAAGCGCGCGUAGGUGGUUUGUUAAGUUGGAUGUGAAAUCCCCGGGCUCAACCUGGGAACUGCAUUCAAAACUGACUGACUAGAGUAUGGUAGAGGGUGGUGGAAUUUCCUGUGUAGCGGUGAAAUGCGUAGAUAUAGGAAGGAACACCAGUGGCGAAGGCGACCACCUGGACUGAUACUGACACUGAGGUGCGAAAGCGUGGGGAGCAAACAGGAUU
rnacentral:rRNA from 1 species